rnacentral:rRNA from 1 species
UACGAAGGGAACUAGCGUUGUUCGGAAUUACUGGGCGUAAAGCGCGCGUAGGCGGCCUGAUAAGUCGGCUGUGAAAGUCAAGGGCUCAACCCUUGAAUGCCGGCCGAUACUGUCAGGCUAGAGUCCGGAAGAGGCGAGUGGAAUUCCUGGUGUAGCGGUGAAAUGCGCAGAUAUCAGGAGGAACACCUAUGGCGAAGGCAGCUCGCUGGGACGGUACUGACGCUGAGACGCGAAAGCGUGUGGAGCGAACAGG